GGAUCCAGACUUUGAUUAUGGCUCAGGAUGAACGCUGGCGGCGCAUUUAAGACAUGCAAGUCGAACGAAAAUUUACGCUUAAAGAGUUGAUUAGUUUACUAAGAGAUGAUUUAUUGUAAAUUUUAGUGGCGGACUGGUGAGUAAUACAUAGGUAAUCUGCCUUUUAGAGGGGAAUAACUAGGAGAAAUCCUAGCUAAUACCGCGUAAGACCACACUUAGGCAUCUAAGAGAGGUCAAAGGAGUAAUCCGCUAAAAGAUGAGCCUGUGGCUGAUUAGUUAGUUGGUGGGGUAAGAGCCUACCAAGACGAUGAUCAGUAGCCGAGCUGAGAGGCUGGCCGGCCACAUUGGGACUGAGAUACGGCCCAGACUCCUACGGGAGGCAGCAGUUGGGAAUAUUGGACAAUGGAGGAAACUCUGAUCCAGUGACGCCGCGUGAAGGAAGAAGGUCUUCGGAUUGUAAACUUAUUUUAUCAGGGAAGAAGAAAGUGACAGUACCUGAAGAAAAAGGACCGGCAAACUACGUGCCAGCAGCCGCGGUAAUACGUAGGGUCCAAGCGUUAUCCGGAUUUACUGGGUGUAAAGGGCGAGUAGACGGCGCUGUAAGUCAGCUGUGAAAACUUAGGGCUCAACCUUAAGCCUGCAGCUGAAACUGUAGUGCUAGAGUGCAGGAGAGGUAAGCGGAAUUCCUAGUGUAGCGGUGAAAUGCGUAGAUAUUAGGAGGAACACCAGUGGCGAAGGCGGCUUACUGGACUGUAACUGACGUUGAGGCGCGAAAGUGUGGGGAGCAAACAGGAUUAGAUACCCUGGUAGUCCACACCGUAAACGAUGGAUACUAGGUGUAGGCGAGAUAUCGUCUGUGCCGGCGCAAACGCAAUAAGUAUCCCACCUGGGGAAUACGGCCGCAAGGUUGCAACUCAAAGGAAUUGACGG
rnacentral:rRNA from 2 species